GGUAGCGUGGCCGAGUGGUCUAAGGCGCUGGUUUUAGGCACCAGUCAUUUAGAUGACGUGGGUUCGAAUCCCACCGCUGCCA
rnacentral:tRNA from 1 species